UACGAAGGGGGCUAGCGUUGCUCGGAAUCACUGGGCGUAAAGCGCACGUAGGCGGCUUUUUAAGUCAGAGGUGAAAUCCUGGAGCUCAACUCCAGAACUGCCUUUGAUACUGAGAGGCUUGAGUCCGGGAGAGGUGGGUGGAACUGCGAGUGUAGAGGUGAAAUUCGUAGAUAUUCGCAAGAACACCAGUGGCGAAGGCGGCUCACUGGCCCGGUACUGACGCUGAGGUGCGAAAGCGUGGGGAGCAAACAGG
rnacentral:rRNA from 1 species